rnacentral:rRNA from 1 species
CGCGUAGGCGGUUUUGUGCGUUAGAUGUGAAAGACCUGGGCUUAACCUGGGAAGUGCAUUUAAUACGGCAAAACUAGAGGACGAGAGAGGAAAGUGGAAUGAUGCAUGUAGAGGUGAAAUUCGUAGAUAUGCAUUGGAACACCAGUGGCGAAGGCGACUUUCUGGCUCGUAACUGACGCUAAGGCGCGAAAGCGUGGGAGCAAACA